rnacentral:rRNA from 1 species
GACCCCAUGGAGCUUUAAACCCAAUUAUAUCUCUAACCACUAUAACCAUUUAACCGCUUAGAACUUAUAUACUUGGUUUUAGGUUGGGGCGACCACGGAGCACAGCCAAACCUCCACGAUGAACGGAACAACCCCCUUAUCUGAGAAUUACGCUUCUAAGAAUUAGCACACUAACAUAAAAUGACCCAUUAUUGAUCAACGAACCAAGUUACCCUGGGGAUAACAGCGCAAUCCAUUUUAAGAGCCCCUAUCGACAAAU